GUCGCUACUACCGAUUGAAUGGCUCAGUGAGGCCUUCGGACUGGCGCAAGGAGGUUGGCAACGACCACCCUGCGCCGGAAAGUUGGUCAAACUCGGUCAUUUAGAGGAAGUAAAAGUCGUAACAAGGUUUCC
rnacentral:rRNA from 1 species